GCGGAUGUGGCGGAAUUGGUAGACGCACUGGUUUUAGGUACCAGCGGGUAACCCCGUGAAGGUUCGAGUCCUUUCAUCCGCACCA
rnacentral:tRNA from 1 species